CCUACGGGAGGCAGCAGUGGGGAAUAUUGCGCAAUGGACGAGAGUCUGAACCAGCCACGCCGCGUGAAGGAUGAAGGUUCUCGGGGUUGUAAACUUCUUUUAUCUGGAAAUAAAAUAGGGUACGCAACCCUUCUCGUAUGUACCAUAUGAAUCCGGAUCGGCUAACUCCGUGCCAGCAGCCGCGGUAAUACGGAGGAUCCGUGCGUUAUCCGGUUUUGUUGGGUUUAAAGGGAGCGUAGGUGGAUUGUUAAGUCAGGUGUGAAAGUUUGCGGCUCAACCGUAGCGGUGCAGUUGAUACUGGCAGUCUUGAGUACAGAAGAGGUGGGCGGAAUGCGUGGUGUAGCGGUGAAAUGCUUAGAUAUCACGAAGAACACCGAUUGCGAAGGCAGCUCACUGGACUGCAACUGACGCUGAGGCUCGAAAGUGUGGGUAUCAAACAGGAUUAGAUACCCGGGUAGUC
rnacentral:rRNA from 1 species